rnacentral:rRNA from 1 species
AUUGAACGCUGGCGGCAUGCCUAACACAUGCAAGUCGAACGAGUGGCGGACGGGUGAGUAAUGUCUGGGAAACUGCCUGAUGGAGGGGUAUAACUACUGGAAACGGUAGCUAAUACCGCAUACCAUCGGAUGUGCCCAGAUGGGAUUAGCUGGUUGGUGGGGUAAAGGCUCACCUAGGGGAGGAUCCCUAGCUGGUCUGAGAGGAUGACCAGAAAGACUGGAACUGAGACACGGGCGAGAGUACUACGGGAGGCAGCAGAGGGGAAUAUUGCAGAAAGGGCGAAAGCCAGAUGGAGCCAUGCCGGGUGUAUGAAGAAGGCCAUCGGGUUGUAAAGUACUUUCAGCGGAGAGGCGUUACCCGAAGAAGAAGAACCGGCUAACUCCGUGCCAGCAGCCGCGGUAAUAC